rnacentral:rRNA from 1 species
AGUGAACGCUGGCGGUAGGCCUAACACAUGCAAGUCGAACGGCAGCACAGUAAGAGCUUGCUCUUACGGGUGGCGAGUGGCGGACGGGUGAGGAAUACAUCGGAAUCUACUUUUUCGUGGGGGAUAACGUAGGGAAACUUACGCUAAUACCGCAUACGACCUACGGGUGAAAUCAGGGGAUCUUCGGACCUUGCGCGAUUGAAUGAGCCGAUGUCGGAUUAGCUAGUUGGCGGGGUAAAGGCCCACCAAGGCGACGAUCCGUAGCUGGUCUGAGAGGAUGAUCAGCCACACUGGAACUGAGACACGGUCCAGACUCCUACGGGAGGCAGCAGUGGGGAAUAUUGGACAAUGGGCGCAAGCCUGAUCCAGCCAUGCCGCGUGGGUGAAGAAGGCCUUCGGGUUGUAAAGCCCUUUUGUUGGGAAAGAAAAGCAGCAGGUUAAUACCCCGCUGUUCUGACGGUACCCAAAGAAUAAGCACCGGCUAACUUCGUG